rnacentral:tRNA from 1 species
GGGCCUGUAGUACAGUGGUAGUACAUAUCGCUGGCAGCGAUAAGACCUGAGUUCAAUUCUCAGCAGGUCCA